CUUUCUUUUAUCCUCAUGCUUUGUGGUUUCGAUGCUUCUGAUCCUGUUGCCUAUGGACAUAUUCUCCCGAACCACAAUUUUUUGCCCAUCGGGAUUGCAUCUGGAGGUAGAAAAGCAAAGGUGGUGGUCAAGAACAACAACUCACUGCAGAUGAUGUUCCGUCAGGCUCCAGAUCUCCAUUCCUCAUUCCUUCGUCCCCUCAGACCGUGAGAGGGAUUGUCUUGUUGUGAAGAAGAUGAGAAGGGAGCAGAGUUAGGGGCUGUCCAGCUCACAUCCCGGCUGUAAAAUGGACACGAUUUCCUGCACCGCAUCGCUCUGGGUUACGCAACGUACUGCUGAGCAAGUGCUUUCAGAUUUGUGAGCAAUUCACAGGACAAAUUUGUGGGACUAAUGUUGGAUUUCCUUGGAACUGGCAUCUCAUUUCCCAUCAGUAAAUUAUUUCUGAUCAGAAAAAUAAUUUUGUAAAACUCCCUGGGGAGAGAAGCACAUUUUUCAUUAUCUUGGGCAUUUUUCUUUUCAGUGUCAAAUACUGUAUUCAGCAUGUCUGAACUGACCUCAAAAGUGUGAUUUUCAGUUGGAGAAAGAGACUCCAAGUUCAGUCUGAAAGGUUAUUCUAGUGUUAUAUGAAAGGUUACUCAAGUGUUGUAUUUUCUGGGCUGUAAGAACCAAGCUUUACACACUUGGGGAGAGAUACAGUAUAUUUGUGUGGUCAUGUGUGCGUGAAAGCGUAUGGGGAGACAAGGUUUGAUUACAAUCUUUUAAUAUGAGGAGAUUUUUCUAUACUCUUGGCGAAAUGAUGAACAUGAUUGUCAUUUAAAUUAUCCUUCUACAAAAGAAAUAAUCAUUUUAUCUUCAUUUAAUUCAAAUAAGAACAGACAUGAGUGACGAAUGAAUUCCUAACUCCAGGAUAGCUGUGUGGCACUCUUAAGCAUUACCUAAAACCUGAAAUGAGUCAAAAUGAUUCAUCAAUUGACAUAAUUAGUAUUUAUGCAAUUACUUUCUUAAAACACGAGGGGCUGGCUAAAAGUGCCUCCCCAUCAUUUCUUGUACGGUGCCUUAUAACAUGGUUAAUGUGGGUUCGGAGCUAAUUAAGGGCACGACUCUCAGAAGCUGAAGCAAUUUUCUAUGUGUCUCUCUUUUUCCCUGUGGAUGUUCUAACAGUGGUCAGUGUCACUCUGCAAACGACUCUUCCUGCUGCGCCAAAUCCUAUUUACAGAAGUUGCCUCAGUCAGUGAUGGAGACAAGUUAAUAGGCUUCCGUGGUGAGUUCUGGCCUUUUAGAUUUGCUCAGACCAUAACUAGAUAGUUGGCUCAGUGGGCUGGCGUCUGCAGCCGUCUCACCUGCAAAAGGCUCUCCAGUUAGCCUGACGAGGAGUUUUUAGUCUAAAGCCAGUGAUUAUCUAAGGUGCACCUAGCAGUGUAUUUCUCAGAUAACUCUCUCCCUCCUCCAAACACUCCUUUGCUUUCUCUUGCAUGUUUGCUUUCUAAGCAACAUGGUGGAUUAUGCACAAGCUCUUAUUUGCUCGUGUUUAGGUGGAAGGUAAAGCUUGGGGUAAGCACUGCUAAAAUCCAAGUAUGUUUCUGGUUGCACCUUAAAUGAUGCACCUAAAGUGCAGGUUGCAUUGAGGCACUUAUAUUUGCAUGUGUAGUGCUAUUUUUUAAGCAUGCAAAAAAAAGGUGUUGGGAAUACAGAGCUUUAGCAGGCAUGGGACUAAUGGCAGUUCAGAAGGUGAGCAAGCAAGUGGGCUGACUCUGUGCAGACUCCACAGUGCUCUGUGCCUGCCCCUGUCCCUGUCCGUGUCCCUGCUCCUGCUCCUGCAGGCAGGGUCCUGCUCUCUCCCUGGAGCUCUGCAGCAGUGUGGGGAGCCCGACCCACAGCUCCCUCAGCUCCCCUUAUCUUGAGCUCACCGAACACCUCUAGAGCCUUGUCCCCAGCCAGCAGUCACAGAAUCACAGCACCCCAGAAUGUCAGGGGUUGGAAGGGACCUGGAAAGCUCAUCCAGUGCAAUCCCCCCAUGGAGCAGGAACACCCAGAUGAGGUUACACAGGAAGGUGUCCAGGCGGGUUGGAAUGUCUGCACAGAAGGAGACUCCACAACCUCCCUGGGCAGCCUGGGCCAGGCUCUGCCACCCUCACCAUCAAGAAGUUUCUUCUCAGAUUUAAGUGGAACCUCUUGUGUUCCAGUUUGAACCCAUUACCCCUUGUCCUGUCACUGGUUGUCACCCAGAAGAGCCUGGCUCCAUCCUCCUGACACUCCCCCUUUCCAUAUUGAUCCCCAGGAAUGAGUCCCCCCUCAGUCUCCUCUUGUCCAGCUCCAGAGCCCCAGCUCCCUCAGCCUUUCCUCACACGGGAGAUGCUCCACUCCCUUCAGCAUCUUGGUGGCUGCGCUGGACUCUCUCCAGCAGUUCCCUGUCCUGCUGGAACUGAGGGGCCACAACUGGACACAAUAUUCCAGGUGUGGUCUCCCCAGGGCAGAGCAGAGGGGCAGGAGAACCUCUCUGACCUACUGACCACCCCCUUCUAACCCACCCCAGGUACCAUUGGCUUCCUGGCCACAAGGGCCCAGUGCUGGCUCAUGGUCAUCCUGCUGUCCCCAGAACCCCGAGGUCCCUUUCCCCUACACCGCUCUCUCCUGCUUGCUUCAGUAGUGCUGAACUGCAAGACGUCUUUCAAUAACUCCAUUCCUGACCUGCUGUACCCCUUGCUAUCCCACUGCUCACUUCCUGCUCCCCCCAGCACCGGGAUCUGCCGGCUGACUCCCGUCCCUUGGCCAUUGCCCUCCCCAGGCAGAGUUUUCUCAAGCAAAAGCCAAACAAACCUUAAAAGCUUUCUGGUCUCUGCCUGCUUUUGGAAGGCGCAAUGUUCAGAUAGCUUUAAAUGUAUCGAAAUAAAUGGGUUUUCGUCC